rnacentral:rRNA from 1 species
GACGAACGCUGGCGGCGUGCUUAACACAUGCAAGUCGAACGGAAAGGCCCUGCUUUUGUGGGGUGCUCGAGUGGCGAACGGGUGAGUAACACGUGAGUAACCUGCCCUUGACUUUGGGAUAACUUCAGGAAACUGGGGCUAAUACCGGAUAGGAGCUCCUGCUGCAUGGUGGGGGUUGGAAAGUUUCGGCGGUUGGGGAUGGACUCGCGGCUUAUCAGCUUGUUGGUGGGGUAGUGGCUUACCAAGGCUUUGACGGGUAGCCGGCCUGAGAGGGUGACCGGCCACAUUGGGACUGAGAUACGGCCCAGACUCCUACGGGAGGCAGCAGUGGGGAAUAUAGCACAAUGGGCGGAAGCCUGAUGCAGCAACGCCGCGUGCGGGAUGAAGGCCUUCGGGUUGUAAACCGCUUUCGCCUGUGACGAAGCGUGAGUGACGGUAAUGGGUAAAGAAGCACCGGCUAACUACGUG